rnacentral:rRNA from 1 species
UCCUUAGACGUUCUGGGCCGCACGCGCGCUACACUGACCAGUGCAACAAGCAUCCGUCCUUGGCCGACAGGCUCGGGCAAUCUUUGAACGCUGGUCGUGAUGGGGAUAGACUUUUGCAAUUUUUGGUCUUCAACGAGGAAUUCCUAGUAAACGCAAGUCAUCAACUUGCAUUGAUUACGUCCCUGCCCUUUGUACACACCGCCCGUCGCACCUACCGAUUGAAUGGUCCGGUGAAGCCUCCGGAUUGGCGCGCACCUCGGUGCCGCCGAGAAGUUGGCUAAACCUUACCAUUUAGAGGAAGGUGAANUCGUAACA